rnacentral:rRNA from 2 species
AAAUUGAAGAGUUUGAUCAUGGCUCAGAUUGAACGCUGGCGGCAGGCCUAACACAUGCAAGUCGAGCGGUAGCACAGAGAGCUUGCUCUCGGGUGACGAGCGGCGGACGGGUGAGUAAUGUCUGGGAAACUGCCUGAUGGAGGGGGAUAACUACUGGAAACGGUAGCUAAUACCGCAUAAUGUCGCAAGACCAAAGUGGGGGACCUUCGGGCCUCAUGCCAUCAGAUGUGCCCAGAUGGGAUUAGCUAGUAGGUGGGGUAACGGCUCACCUAGGCGACGAUCCCUAGCUGGUCUGAGAGGAUGACCAGCCACACUGGAACUGAGACACGGUCCAGACUCCUACGGGAGGCAGCAGUGGGGAAUAUUGCACAAUGGGCGCAAGCCUGAUGCAGCCAUGCCGCGUGUAUGAAGAAGGCCUUCGGGUUGUAAAGUACUUUCAGCGGGGAGGAAGGCGAUAAGGUUAAUAACCUUGUCGAUUGACGUUACCCGCAGAAGAAGCACCGGCUAACUCCGUGCCAGCAGCCGCGGUAAUACGGAGGGUGCAAGCGUUAAUCGGAAUUACUGGGCGUAAAGCGCACGCAGGCGGUCUGUCAAGUCGGAUGUGAAAUCCCCGGGCUCAACCUGGGAACUGCAUUCGAAACUGGCAGGCUAGAGUCUUGUAGAGGGGGGUAGAAUUCCAGGUGUAGCGGUGAAAUGCGUAGAGAUCUGGAGGAAUACCGGUGGCGAAGGCGGCCCCCUGGACAAAGACUGACGCUCAGGUGCGAAAGCGUGGGGAGCAAACAGGAUUAGAUACCCUGGUAGUCCACGCCGUAAACGAUGUCGAUUUGGAGGUUGUGCCCUUGAGGCGUGGCUUCCGGAGCUAACGCGUUAAAUCGACCGCCUGGGGAGUACGGCCGCAAGGUUAAAACUCAAAUGAAUUGACGGGGGCCCGCACAAGCGGUGGAGCAUGUGGUUUAAUUCGAUGCAACGCGAAGAACCUUACCUGGUCUUGACAUCCACAGAACUUAGCAGAGAUGCUUUGGUGCCUUCGGGAACUGUGAGACAGGUGCUGCAUGGCUGUCGUCAGCUCGUGUUGUGAAAUGUUGGGUUAAGUCCCGCAACGAGCGCAACCCUUAUCCUUUGUUGCCAGCGGUUCGGCCGGGAACUCAAAGGAGACUGCCAGUGAUAAACUGGAGGAAGGUGGGGAUGACGUCAAGUCAUCAUGGCCCUUACGACCAGGGCUACACACGUGCUACAAUGGCAUAUACAAAGAGAAGCGACCUCGCGAGAGCAAGCGGACCUCAUAAAGUAUGUCGUAGUCCGGAUUGGAGUCUGCAACUCGACUCCAUGAAGUCGGAAUCGCUAGUAAUCGUAGAUCAGAAUGCUACGGUGAAUACGUUCCCGGGCCUUGUACACACCGCCCGUCACACCAUGGGAGUGGGUUGCAAAAGAAGUAGGUAGCUUAACCUUCGGGAGGGCGCUUACCACUUUGUGAUUCAUGACUGGGGUGAAGUCGUAACAAGGUAACCGUAGGGGAACCUGCGGUUGGAUCACCUCCUUACCUUAAAGAA